AAGAAAGAAAGAAAGAAAGAAAAGAGGGGCAGAGACAAAGAGAAGGAGAGGGGCCUUGUCAGAGCAGAGGGGGGGAUGAGGAGGGAAUCAAUCAGAUUUGGGUCAGAGUGCCAGGCAGGGGCUCCCUCCCCAGGACAAGUGUGGCCUCGCUGUCUGUCCUGAGGACUUGCUCUGAAGCUAAGGGGUGGGGGCAGUGCCCUGGGAGAGCCCCUGACCAUUUGCAGGGGGGCCCUGACAAAAGCCCUCUCAACCGGGGGAGCGUGGGGUGUCCAUCCUCUUGGUGAGUGAGGGCAGCAGAAGGAGCAGGGAGGAGUAGAGGAGAGGGGGGCUGAGCCUUGUCAGUGUGAGGGGCCCAGGGCCAGCCCUGGGGGAGGGGGUUCUGACCAGGUGGGAGCCUGGAGGCCCUGGGUGGGCAUGAGCUGACACUGACCUUCUGUCCUGGGGAGAUGAGGGCGUUGACAUGCUUCAGCACUGGCUUCAGGGAGCUGUCAUAGCGCACACUGAGGUUCUGGAUCUGGAUCUUCCCUUGGUCUGGCCAGUUCUUCGGGAUGAGUGAGGGUGCUGAGGGCACACCGGGGCUCAGCCAGCCGACAGAGGCGGCAGCUGGCAUCCAGGAGGGCCCCCCUUUUCCUACCACGCCCCCCAUCCGGGCCUCUCACCCAGCAGCCCCUCGUAACUCUCCGCCUCGGUUUUGAGGAGCCCAUGGAUGCGCUUCACGGCCCCCAGCUGGAUCUCCAUGUCUGCCAGGUUCCUCACCAUCCAGUUGAGACGCACAGGAGGCCUUGACGGCUGGAGCCCCAGGAGACAGCGUGUGCACGCAGCUUAUGCUGCUCCCCCCGCUCCCCAGCCAUCUGCGUGGGCCUGAACGUGCGUCUCACCAGCUGGCCCACACGGGUCACAGGGCCCACUCCAGACACACGCUCCUCACAGUCAACCACACAGCUCUUCUGGCUCUCGGCGCCCACCUCAGGGCCUCCCUAUUACAGUAAAGGGCACCUCUGCCCACCUGGAUGCUCAGACCAGAAACCGAGGAAUCAUCUAGAUUCACGUCUAAUCCCUGUACAAGACCUCUUAUGUCUACAUCCAAAAUAGCCCUGUGUCUGCCUGCCUCUCCUGCUUGCUGCCCACAAACUCACCUGGCCUACUGCAUCAGCCUCCCCGGAGGUCCCCCUGCUGUCUCCCCACAGCCUGCUCUGCACACAGCAGCCAGCCUAAUCUUUGGAAAUCAUAAAUUGCCUUCCAUCUCUCCCCUGCUUCGAAUAUCAAUGGCUUGAGUCAGUGUGAGCUGGCUCCUGCCAACCUAGCCUCCUUCUAUGCCACAAAUUGCCUUGCUCACUGCCUUGUAGUCACAGAAGUUACAAUAAAGUAAUUUAUUACUUG